GGAACACUGACACAAGAUGUGGAGGACUCUUUGUCUCGUCUCACUCGUAUGGGUUUCUACGGGUCAUGGUGACGGUCGUGGAUCACCAAACGUACCAGAAGUACCAACUAGCACUCUGUCACCCACUGUUAAUGACUCUAACCCCGCAACAACACAAAGCACCAGAGCCUCCCAGAGCUUCUGUGAAAACGUCUUGAUUAAGUGUCGACAGAUGAAUUACUCCUGGACCAGGUGUUAUGAUGACAAAAUUCGAGCCUGUAGACCCAAAGGACGUUUUACGCCAAACUUCAUUUGUAGGAGUGUGAACUUAUCUCAAGAGGUUGAGGAGGGUCUUACCUCUGAGCACAGGGUUCACAUCCCAUCCUCAGCUCUCCAGAGAUGCAGUGGAGGUGCACAUCAGAGGGAGGUACAGUUAGUGAUCACCGUGCUCGACAGCAGUUACUUCAAGCUGACUCCCCAACCACGAAGGGGAACCAGAAGAUUUGGCCCUGUGCACAUGAAAGGUGAAAUUAUGGGGGGUACAGUGCUGGUAGUGAAGGCAGGGCACCGUCCUGUCAGCAACCUCUCACAACCCAUCAUAUUAACCUUCAAACACAACGAAACGAUAAAAAAUGGGACUUGUGUGUUUUGGCAAGAGUCAGAAGAAGGUGAUGGAACAGGUCACUGGAGCACAGAAGGCAUUCUUACCAGUGUCAAUGGAACUCAUUUUAACUGUAGUUGCGACCAUCUGAGCUUCUUUGCUGUGCUUGUGAACCCGGAAAUAUCAGUGGAUAAAAGAAAUGCUGAGAACCUUAGUUAUAUCACCUACGUUGGAUCAGCCCUCUCUGUCUUCUUCACAGCCAUCAGCUUGAUCAUCUACAUAUGUCUGCAACGGCGCCGUCCAGAGAAGGCCAUCAGUGUGCAUAUGCAACUAACAGGUGCACUGCUCUGCCUACACCUCAGUUUCCUGCUGUGCAGCUUUUGGGCGAACAUGCUGGAAGUGACAGAGGAGGACUUGGUUUGCAAAGCUCUGGGUUUCUUCUUACACUGGUCCCUGCUGGCCACCAUCAGCUGGAUGGCUCUGGAGGGAUUCCACCUCUACCUUCUCCUUGUCCGGGUCUUUAACAUCUAUGUCAGGAGAUACGUGCUCAAACUCAGCUUGGUGGGAUGGGGUGCCAGACAGACUGAGGACAACAUGGACCCAAACACGACGAUUCUGCGAGUCAAGAGAAAAAGGGGCACCGACCCCGCGGAUGCUUUGUUGCUGGCUUGCAAACGUAUCCGACCAGAGACGUCCCAAAAUACCGGCGAGACGGUACCGGAGCCCAAUGAAGCCGAGGUGGAAAACUCCGUGUUCAAACUCGUGGCGACCGUAGCGACGCAGGAUGCUCCCGUUCAGACGCAGGUUCGACAGGCCCUGGCCCGGCCUCGCAUGGCCCAUGCGCUGCGCCCCUCUGCCGGCAGCUCUCAACGGAUCACCGGGGACCUACGGAGCACUAAGUGGAGCACCAGGAGGGAGGAACGCUACAGAAUACUGUCCAGCCACCGCACAGGUCUGUCUAGCCCCGCCGAGCAGCAGGAUCCCCAGACAGAUACCUCUGAGGGGGCAGAAGAAACUGAGAAACAGCAGGACAAGUGUUUGGGUGUUGGUGAAAUCCAGGUGGUGGAUCUCAUACAUGAGGAUGAACAAGGCGAGGACAAGUUGUCUGGCAAGGUGCAGACCCAGGACCCAGAGGUGAUCAUGUGCAACAACACCAAGAUGCUGCGGGAGCGUCUGAGCAUAACCGGAGAGCGAGGCGGCGACAGGCAGCGUGAGCAGGAAGAGGACUACGUGUAUGAUCUGUACUACCAGGAAACGGUCACACCCGGGUGGAUUCAGGACAUCCUGUCCGUCAGGGCCUACGCCGAUGAGGGAGAACUGGUGUGUGUGGAUGGAUGGACGGAACAGAUGAAUGAGUGCAAAACACGGAGUGCCCGACGUUGUGGUGCAUGAAGAGGAGGUGUACGAAGAUGACGACGACGAGAAUGAAGAAAGCAACUGGAGGAACGACUACCCCGAUGAGGAGAGUGGGUCAGGCAGCGACAGAGAGGAGCGCUACGGUGGUUACUGGGAGGAGGAGCACUCGUACAGCCGGAGGAACUGGGAGCGCUACCAGAGGGAAGUGCUGCAUGAGCAUGCUGAAGAUGACGAUGAAGAUGAUGGGAACAAAUAUGAUUCCAAUUGAUCUACCCUCCCAUUAUUAUUAUAGCAUCUAUCUGUGGCUCUCCUCUUCAUGAAAUACACCAUACUCCAUAGACCUCUGUGUAGGAAAAAAACCAAACAUCUUAUGUGUAGCACUCAUCACACAUCAGUUAAUAAUGAGGUCCAAUCAAUACAUUUGUGCCAAUAUUAAAAAUUUGACAACCACAGAACACUUAGUCGUCUCACUGUUCAGAGAAUUGCACAUGUACCAAACUCGAGCUCCACCCUUUGCUACACAGAUGUUGAAGGAGCAGGUGUUAUUUCCAGCAGGACCCAGUGUCUUUUUUUUCUUUUUUUAAAUCUGUGGUGGAGUGAAUUUGUGUGUGGGUGUUUGUUCCAAGUGGGUGGGUGGGUGUGUGUGUGUGUGUGUGUGUGUGUGUUGCACAUCAGUGUGAGUUGCCUCGUAUGCUUCGUGCUGUUAACACUUCUGUAAGUGAGACGUCUCGAGUCGCGUGUGGUUGCAGUUUUUAGGGUGUUUGCAUUUUGUGCAUGGUAGCGUGUGUACGUACAAGUUGUGUGUGUGUGUGUUUAGAAUUUGCAUAAUGUGAAAGCGUGGCGCGUAUAUUUUUUGUUGUUGUGGGUGUGCGUGAGUUUGGUUCAGAAAUGUACCCUUUUUUUUUUUUGGAAGAUCCGACUGUUUCUCUGGAAUGCUUGUCAAAUUAAACUUUUUGUAAAUAUGUAGAUGUGUAUAAAAAGAAAGCUUUCAAAAUAAAUGGAAA